rnacentral:lncRNA from 1 species
AUUAACAGUACAUACAGUAGAUACGACAUGAUCCAGUAUGAACUUUUCCCCAUCAUUCAUGGAGGAUUGUAUGCUAAAUAAAGAGCCGUCUACUUUGUGGAAUUUCAGACUAGUAGGAAGGUUAUCAUUCUUUUUGUCUCGUAUCACUGCUUUUAGUCCUUCAUCGGCCAUCUGUUCU